rnacentral:tRNA from 1 species
GCGCCUGUAGCUCAGGUGGAUAGAGCAUCUGCCUUCUAAGCAGAGGGUCGCCCGUUCGAGUCGGGCCAGGCGCGCCA